UUAAGUGCACAAUUAGCUGUCAGGUCUUAACUGUCCCGAGGUAAUGAAAGGCGCUACAUAAAUGCAAGUUCUGUUUUUUCCCCCCCAAAUCUUUAAAGAGUUCCCCGGUCACCUUCGAUACUGUGAAGGCUUAAAUGUUGUGACGGUCUGCCAGCCCACCAGUGGCUCUUUAACCCGCAGCGUUAAAGCCGGCCUGACUAACCGUUCUCGGUUCUAGAAAAUAUUUUUGUCGCUCGCUUCGAGGCGUUCACUUUUUACCCAAAUUCCGAAGCUACCUCAAGAAGUUCCACCCACUUAGUGCUUUUUGUACCAGUUCGCCCACGCGGCUUGCAGCUCGGGAACAAGAAGCCGUUCAAAAACAACCGGAAAAGAAACCGUGAACAAUUCCGAUCAAUUAUACCGUGUAUAAACCUUUCCAUUGCCUGGAGCUUGACAUGAUCAGAUGCUGUCAGAAUUCGUAGUAACGCCUUUGGAGGUCAUUUGUAAUGGGAGUCUGGUAUUAAAAUGGAAUGCUCUGCACAGUUAACUGAUAUCUAACCCUGACUGAUUAAACUGCUCUCCCGGGAGUUAAAGAGCAAAGUGUUCCCGAGGCUUAUUCCAAAAACAAAAAAUGAAUUGGAGAAUUGAGACGAGAACGCGCGUAUUCCUAGGCAAGGGCAGAAUUGGACACUGAACGGCCCCCGCCAGUCCAAAUGUGACUUCUGUCAGAAUUUGGGAUUUAAAUUAAGUUAAAGUUGGGAUUUAAGAACAGAAAACGGCGGAAACACCGAGCAGAUGGAGAGAUGCUGCUGAACAUUCCCUUUGCUAAGAUUUCAGGUGCCCAGGCGGAGACAAUCCUCCAGCAGACUCCGAGAGAAAUACUGGCGGCCAAAGGCGAGAAUGUCGAACUCACCUGUAAUCUGAAGAGGGGCACACUCGAUGAGGUCUUCUGGUACAAGCUAGAGGGAAACUCCCAGGCCCAUUUUCUGAAGUCCGCCACUGUCCUGAACAGACAGGCCUCAGGAGAGGGAAUAACCGGGCGGUUCAUUUUAACCAGAGAUGCCUUUCGACUGUCGUUCAGUUUAACCAUAAAAGACAUACAACUGUCAGACAACGGCACCUACUACUGCCUGAUGCUCAGCUCCUACUUUGUGUCUUUGGGAGGUGGAAGUGUGGUCACAGUAGUUCCAGAACGAAAGAUAGUAACUUCUCCGCCUCCGACUACUAAACGCCACAGAAUCCAUCACUUCAACUACCCCAAGGUGCGAAACAAGAAGCAAACGUGGAAUCAUGGGUACGUGUGUAGCUGGAGUAUCUGGGGCUCUCUGACUGCCUGCAACCUCCUGCUCCUGUCCUCCAUUGCCUUUGUUGUCAUCAAACACAAGAUCCAGAAAUCCCGGAGGCGAUGUCCCCACCAGUUUCGGAAAAGGUAAUAAACACAUCAUCUCAAGACCAAUAACUGGAGGAAAGAUUGGAAUGUUAUUUCAACCAAUUUUGAACUUGUGAAAGUCGUAGUCAGAACUUUAUAUUGUUAAAUGCAGUCUCAUCUACAUUUCACCCUGCUUUAUCAUUGCUGUUAAAUUUCUUUUGGUUAUGAAAACUGGGAUGAAACUUGCACUCAAUGUACGCAUGCAUGAGCCAUUACCUCCUCAGAGAUUACAUGACCAUGGAAGUGAGGGGUAAGUUGGGGGUAGAAUACAAAGAAGUUUUUAGCUAGCCAUGAUAUUUUGGAGACUGUGGUGUGUGGGUCAGCUGUGAUUUUCCUGCCUGUGACAUUGUCAAAAUUCUCUUCAGAUUAAUGUUACUAUGAUGGAUGAAAAGUAUUGUCUCCCUGCAAUGUUCUCCUUGUGUUUACUGUUCAAUAAUGUUCACUAUGCUUAUUCCAUUUGCUGCUUGUAUCAUACAGAAAGUGUAAAAUGUUUACUUUGCAGCUGCAAUAAACAGUAAUUAUGUGUUCUAAAAUUACAACAAUUUAAAGAGUUGUGGGACUUGGCAAGAUGGUGGCAAUUUAUUCGAUCUGCCGUGCAUGGCUCUGCCUAACAGCCAAGGUUCAUUGGUGUUUUUUGCCAUCCCUGGCUAACUUCUAUGAAAGAAUUGUUAAUUUAAAACUUUGAGAACACAUGCUUGUUCACAUUUUGGAGAGGGAAAGAUGCCAAAGGGAAAGGUAGUGAGCAAACAGCAGCAGGGAGGACACUCCCCGCAGCACUGGGCAAGCUAGAGACCCCAGCAGCGGCGCCUCCCGAACCCCCGAGGGACUUUAUGGAUCCGCAGGAAUUGGCGGCGGCGAUGGCAAGAUUCACUGCAGAGGUUGAGGCUGCGUUCGAGGAGAUUUGAGCCCAGAUCCAACCCAUCGUGUCUCUGCUGCAAAAGCAUGAAUGGGAGCUCCGGGACAUCGGGGAGUGGAUGGAAAAUGUGGAGGGUCGAACCAUGGCCUCAGAGUGGCAAUCGAGUCCUCGUCUGGACGGAUCCAGACACUGGACCAGCAAGGGCGGGCCUUGUGAGAUCAGGUCGACCUCGAAAAUUGAGUUCAAAGGUCGAAUCUACGGAUUGUCAGGCUCCCGGAGGGUGAAGAAGGUGGGCAGUCAGUCAGCUUCUUUGAACACUGACUGUCACAGUUCCUGGGCCUUCAAAUCGAGGUCUGGCCAUCUGCAGAUUGAAAGGGCCUACCUGGUGGCAGUGCGCAGAUCUGGGCCAGUACAGCACCCCCACACGGUCCUAGUGC